CCUACGGGGGGCUGCAGUGGGGAAUAUUGGACAAUGGGGGGAACCCUGAUCCAGCCAUGCCGCGUGUGUGAAGAAGGCCCUCGGGUUGUAAAGCACUUUCAGUGAGGAAGAACGCCUGGUGGUUAAUACCCAUCAGGAAAGACAUCACUCACAGAAGAAGCACCGGCUAACUCCGUGCCAGCAGCCGCGGUAAUACGGAGGGUGCGAGCGUUAAUCGGAAUUACUGGGCGUAAAGCGCGCGUAGGUGGCUUGAUAAGCCGGUUGUGAAAGCCCCGGGCUCAACCUGGGAACGGCAUCCGGAACUGUCAAGCUAGAGUGCGGGAGAGGAAGGUAGAAUUCCCGGUGUAGCGGUGAAAUGCGUAGAGAUCGGGAGGAAUACCAGUGGCGAAGGCGGCCUUCUGGACUGACACUGACACUGAGGUGCGAAAGCGUGGGUAGCAAACAGGAUUAGAUACCCUAGUAGUC
rnacentral:rRNA from 1 species